GGCGUCUGUGUGAGGGGUACAGGGUUCGUGGGUGACGGUGACCGUUGCCUGGGGCCGAGGGGAAUGGGGCGUCUGUGUGAGGGGUACGGGGUUUGUGGGUGACGGUGACCAUUGCCUGUGGCCGAGGGGAAUGGGGCAUCUGUGUGAGGGGUACAGGGUUUGUGGGUGACGGUGACCGUUGCCUGGGGCCGAGGGGAAUGGGGGCGUCUGUGUGAGGGGUACGGGGUUUGUGGGUGACGGUGACCGUUGCCUGGGGCCGAGGGGAAUGGGGCGUCUGUGUGAGGGGUACGGGGUUUGUGGGUGACGGUGACCGUUGCCUGGGGCCGAGGGGAAUGGGGGCGUCUGUGUGAGGGGUACAGGGUUUGCGGGUGACGGUGACCGUUGCCUGGGGCCGAGGGGAAUGGGGGCGUCUGUGUGAGGGGUACGGGGUUUGUGGGUGACGGUGACCGUUGCCUGGGGCUGAGGGGAAUGGGGCGUCUGUGUGAGGGGUACGGGGUUUGCGGGUGACGGUGACCGUUGCCUGGGGCCGAGGGGAAUGG
rnacentral:lncRNA from 10 species